CAGAUAGUGAAAAGGGGGCUGAUGACUCAAGAUGAAUACGAUGAAGCAAGUACAAAAGCACUAAGCUUAUUUGAAUAUGGACAGGCAAUUGCGGAGGCAACUAGGGAUGUCACCGAUGGUGAGAGUUCGGAGAAUGACAUUGAUGGGGAUGAUGAUGGUGAUGGCGAUGAGGAAGAUUGAAAUGAAGCUACCUAGUUAGAUGCAUUAUUGGUAGGGAUGCUGAUUUUGUUAAAACAUUGCUUUUGGCUUUUGAUUGUUCAACUAUAACGUAUAUGAUUGUUGGCUUUGGUUGGCUUUUGGCUGAUUGUUCAGCUGUAACAUUUAUGUCGUACUGAAUUUUAUAACUGUUCUUGUUUAAAUAUAUGAAUGCUUGUUGGCUUUUAAA